rnacentral:rRNA from 1 species
CCAAAACCGACUCAGGUGGACGGGGUGAAUAUCCCAAGGCGCGUGAGAGAACCCUGGUUAAGGAACUCUGCAAAUUGACACCGUAACUUCGGGAGAAGGUGUGCCGCUGGCGGUUAGUGACUUCGCGUCACGAAGCUGUUGGUGGUCGCAGUGAAAUGGCGGUUGUGACUGUUUACUAAAAACACAGGACUCUGCGAAGUCGUAAGACGACGUAUAGGGUCUGAUGCCUGCCCGGUGCUGGAAGGUUAAGGGGAUAUGUCAGCGCAAGCGAAGCAUUGAACCGAAGCCCCAGUAAACGGCGGCCGUAACUAUAACGGUCCUAAGGUAGCGAAAUUCCUUGUCGGGUAAGUUCCGACCUGCACGAAGGGCAUAACAACAUCCGCACUGUCUCGACCAGGGACUCAGCGAAAUUACAUUGGGGGUGAAGAUGCCCUCUACCCGCGGAAAGACGGAAAGACCCCAUGAACCUUUACUGCAACUUGGCAGUGAUUUUCGGGUUGUUCUGCGUAGGAUAGGUGGGAGGCUUUGAAGCCGGGCUUCCGGGUUCGGCAGAGCCAACGUUGAAAUACCACCCUGAAUAAUCUGGUAAUCUAACCUGCGCCCAUGAUCUGGGCGAGGGACACUGCCUGGUGGGCAGUUUGACUGGGGCGGUCGCCUCCUAAAUUGUAACGGAGGCGUGCGACGGUUCCCUCAGGCUGAUUGGAAACCAGCCGUAGAGUGCAAACGCAUAAGGGAGCUUUACUGCGAGACUGACAAGUCGACCAGUUGCGAAAGCAGGUGUUAGUGAUCCGGUGGUACCACAUGGAAGGGCCAUCGCUCAUCGGAUAAAAGGUACUCUGGGGAUAACAGGCUGAUCGCGCCUGAGAGUUCACAUCGGCGGCGCGGUUUGGCACCUCGAUGUCGGCUCAUCGCAUCCUGGGGCUGGAGCAGGUCCCAAGGGUUUGGCUGUUCGCCAAUUAAAGCGGUACGCGAGCUGGGUUUAAAACGUCGUGAGACAGUUUGGUCCCUAUCUUCCGUGGGCGCAGGACACUUGAGAGGAGCUAUCCAUAGUACGAGAGGACCUGGAUGGACGAACCUCUGGUGCUCCGGUUGUCACGCCAGUGGCAUAGCCGGGUAGCCAUGUUCGGAACAGAUAACCGCUGAAGGCAUAUAAGCGGGAAGCUGGCCUCAAGACUAGGUGUCCCUGACGCAAGUCACUAAAGGCCCCUCGAAGACUACGAGGUUGAUAGGCUCGGUGUGGAAGCGCUGCGAGGCGCGGAGCUAACGAGUACUAAUAGGCCGUGAGGCUUGACCUC